CCUACGGGGGGCAGCAGUGGGGAAUAUUGCACAAUGGGGGAAACCCUGAUGCAGCGACGCCGCGUGAGUGAGGAAGGCUUUCGGUAUGUAAAGCUCUUUCAGUAGGGAAGAAAAUUACGGUACCUGACUACUACUCCCCGGCCAACUACGUGCCAGCCGCCGCGGUCCUACGGAGGGGGCAAGCGUUAUCCGGAUUUACUGGGUGUAAGGGGAGCUUAGACGGGUAAUCAGGUCAGCAGUGAAAGCCCAGGGCUCAACUCUGGGACUGCUUUUGAAACUGAGUAGCUAGAGUGCAGGGGAGGUAGGCGGAAUUCGUGGUGUAGCGGUGAAAUGCGUAGAUAUUAGGAAGAACACCGAUGGCGAAGGCAGCUUACUGAACUGGAACUGACGUUGAUGCUCGAAAGCGUGGGGAGCAAACAGGAUUAGAUACCCCAGUAGUC
rnacentral:rRNA from 1 species